rnacentral:lncRNA from 1 species
AAAAAGCCUAGGGCAGGCCGGGGCUUUUACUUUAGAAUGGUUCCACUCUUGCGGAAACAAGGGUGCACUGUAAUUUUGUCCAGGGCAUGUUUAAGUUGCAUAGUUGGGUCUUUAGGGAGCACUUUUGGUUGUGCUUCAGAUAGGUACUCAUUGAUAUACUGUUCAUACAUCUCUUCAGGUAGCAGGAUGAUCUUUUUGGUUUUAUCAUCUCUUGUUAUGAUCAAGUUGUUCUGCUUAAGCCAGGCAUCUGUCUUAUGCUUUAGCACUGCUAGUGUGGGAUCGUAAAGUGUCCUGCGUGGGGCUGCUCUAUUAACAUCUCAAACAUAUUUCCACCUAGACUUCUGUCUGUCUAAUUCAGAGUCAAAAAGUAUUAAGAAUCAAAUCUUCGAUUACUGGGAUAUCGUUAAUAAACUGUAGAAUGGUAGACGGCACUCGAUGCGGUUGUGGGAUGCAGGAGUGAUUUUGGUAGUACGGGCGCUUUCGGCGGGGCGGUCUCGUUGCCGUCUUCGGGUUUCGAGCGGAACAGUUGGUGGAUUCUGGAACGGUUGUGUUUAUG